UAAAAGGUAUGCUUACUAUCGAAAGGCCAGUUUCAGGGCUUGGGAAAAAAUAUUAUUGGGCUGGACAUAACGGCCGAAUACGCUGACUUCCUCUUUUCUGUUCAUCAAUUAAAAACAAAACCAUGUUCUUGACAAAAAAAAUAAAUAAAAAAACAAUGUUUUAGUUGAUCGUAAGCUGCAGUAAGAGGGCUGAAAAUAUUCGUGGCCGAGAAAAGAAUGGCGGAGGAAACAUCGUCGGAGGUGGAAGCAUCAUCGGCCGGAAGGGAUGGGGAGGAAGGGGAUCCUUCAGCGACGGUGCUGGAUCUCACGAGCUGCCAGAUGCACGACCUCGACUCGGUCGAGUUACCCCCUAACCUGACCGAGUUGGACCUCACCGCGAAUCGUUUGUCUUCGUUGGACCCUCGCAUUGGGAACCUCUCUCAUCUCAAGAAGCUCUCUUUUCGUCAGAAUCUCAUCACAGACGACGCCGUUUUGCCCCUUUCUUCCUGGAACGCUCUCUCCGAUCUCCAGGAGCUUGUGCUGCGGGAUAAUCAAUUGAGGAAGAUUCCUGAUAUGAAGAUAUUUAAGAGCCUUUUGGUUUUCGAUGUUUCCUUCAACGAAAUCAACUCUCUUCAUGGCUUGUCCGCUGUCUCCAACACCCUCAAGGAGCUCUAUGUCUCGAAAAAUGAAGUUCCUAAGAUUGAAGAGAUUGAUCACUUCCUUGACUUGCAGAUUCUUGAACUCGGUUCCAACAAGUUGCGGGUGAUGGAGAAUCUGCAGAACUUGACGAAUUUGCAGGAGCUGUGGCUUGGCCGGAAUCGGAUCAAAGUUGUAAACCUGUGUGGUCUCAAAUCCAUCAAGAAGCUUAGUUUGCAAAGCAAUCGCCUCACUUCGAUGGCAGGAUUCGAGGGUUGCGUAGCGUUAGAAGAACUAUACCUGAGCCAUAAUGGUAUCACUAAAAUGGAAGGCUUGUCUUCUCUGGUCAACCUUCGGGUUUUAGAUGUAUCAUCAAAUAAGCUAACCUCUGUGGAUGACAUUCAGAACCUCACAAAAUUAGAAGAUUUGUGGCUGAAUGACAACCAAAUAGAUUCGCUUGAAGGGAUUGCUGGGGCUGUUGCUGGUUCAAAAGAAAAGCUUACCACUCUCUACCUAGAAAAUAACCCAUGUGCUAAGACACCCAACUAUACUGCCAUCCUGAGGGAGAUCUUCCCCAACAUCCAACAAAUUGAUUCUGAAAUAUUCUCUUAGAAGUUUCUUGGCUUUAAGCUUUUUCAGAAAUUGGUAGCAUUUAAACUUUGUCGCUUCACAUUCAUUUAUCCUGGUUUGAAAGAUUGAUGAUUUGGCUGUGUCCACCUGAAGAGCAUAUGCGUAACAGUCAUAGGACAAGUUUAUGUGGGAUUACCAUUGUUUACUACUUACUAGUAAAAUGAAUAUGCUUGUUAUAUGUUUCUUGUUUUGCGGAACACUUUUGUUUUAUCAUGUUUAUGUAGCAGACAAUUUUUUGAGUAACGUUUUCUUUUGCUGUGUUAAUGUUAUGUCGAGCUACCUCACCUUAUAAACAGGAGGAUGUAAUUUAAUGAUCGUCUUCAGAUUCAUUGAAAAUUAUCCAUAGCAAGUAAAUAUUUGUUUUCUGUAGUA